rnacentral:rRNA from 1 species
UGGGGAAUAUUGGACAAUGGGCGAAAGCCUGAUCCAGCCAUGCCGCGUGUGUGAAGAAGGCCUUUUGGUUGUAAAGCACUUUAAGUGGGGAGGAAAAGCUUGUGGUUAAUACCCAUAAGCCCUGACGUUACCCACAGAAUAAGCACCGGCUAACUCUGUGCCAGCAGCCGCGGUAAUACAGAGGGUGCAAGCGUUAAUCGGAAUUACUGGGCGUAAAGCGCGCGUAGGUGGUUAUUUAAGUCAGAUGUGAAAGCCCCGGGCUUAACCUGGGAACUGCAUCUGAUACUGGAUAACUAGAGUAGGUGAGAGGGGAGUAGAAUUCCAGGUGUAACGGUGAAAUGCGUAGAGAUCUGGAGGAAUACCGAUGGCGAAGGCAGCUCCCUGGCAUCAUACUGACACUGAGGUGCGAAAGCGUGGGUAGCAAACAGGAUUAGAUACCCUGGUAGUCCACGCCGUAAACGAUGUCUACCAGUCGUUGGGUCUUUUAAAGACUUAGUGACGCAGUUAACGCAAUAAGUAGACCGCCUGGGGAGUACGGCCGCAAGGUUA